rnacentral:rRNA from 1 species
CUUGACUCUAGUCUGGCACUGUAAGGAGACAUGAGAGGUGUAGCAUAAGUGGGAGAUCCGUCUCACGGGUCGGCAGUGAAAUACCACUACUUUCAUCGUUUCUUUACUUACUUGAUCAGGCUGGAAGCGUGCGCGGUUCCCUGUGUUCCGCUCACGGUAUUCUAGAACCAAGAUCGGGAGGCUCAGGUCUCCCGGUCGACCAGAUCCAAGGACACUGCCAGGCC